GACGAACCGUGCGAACGUUGUUCGGAAUCACUGGGCUUAAAGGGCGCGAUAGGCGGGCUUGUAAGUCUGCGGUGAAAGCCUCCAGCUACAACUGGAGAAGUGCCGUGGAUACUGUGAGCCUUGAGGAGGGUAGGGCAUCUGGAACGUUGGGUGGAGCGGUGAAAUGCGUUGAUAUCAACGGAACUCCGGUGGCGAAGCGAGGUGCUGGACCUUCUGACGCUGAGGCGCGAAAGCCAGGGAGCGAACGGGAUUAAGAUGACCGUGACGUCCGA
rnacentral:rRNA from 1 species